rnacentral:lncRNA from 1 species
AGCUGCCCCAGGUACGGUCACUGAUGGGCAGCGCAGAGAGCAGCAGCCACGCUCUCUGUGGGGCACCCAGGGCGGCUCCAGGGCUGUGAGCAGCACUGACACCCGGCUGCAGGCCAGGGCUUUGCCUGCUCAUGCUGGGAAGGAGAGAGCGGCAGCUGCAUCCCAGGGGAAAAAGCAACCGCCAGGGUGACGGAGAGCACGUGGUGCUGAGUCUGCCAGCUCCCGGGUCCUGCUGCCGGCUCCUUUCAGGAGCUCCUCUGGGAAACGGCACCUGGUUGCCGUCUGGUUGCUGAGAGCGUCUCCUCCUCGGCAGGCGCUCGGCACUGGAAGCCCUUGGACUCCCCACCCUCCAGCCCAGCCCAGGAGGAAGGAGCCCAGCAAGAGGUGGAGAAAGGUGGAGAAGCCUCUGCCAGCAGAGGACGUGGCAGCAGCAGCCCAGCUGGAGAGACUCCAGCCUGACCACCCUUCCCCACGAGCCGUCCAGGUCCUCAAAGCGCUGGAGCCGCAUCGGGCACGGAGCUUCACAUUCCAGCAGGUCGCUGAGAACAACAGGCGGCGCCAAGAGCAGCAGAGGCAGCUCCCCUGCACUCGAUGCUGGUACCGCAGCAGAGGGGAAGGUGCCGGGAGCAGCAGCUGCAGCAGUGGCCGUGAGCAAAGGGGCUGGGAGGCUCCUGAGCUGCCAAGAUCCACCUGAGAACAGAAAAUAAAGAGCUCUGGGCUCUUCCCAGAUGGACUGACUGGUCUGUGCCUGCUGAUGGAUCCGUCUCAAGGGAUUACACACACCCCAUGGGGGAUCCCAGGAGUGCCUGUCGGGGCGGGAGGGAGCACAGUCCCAGGGCUGGGACAGGAGCGGCUGGUGGGAGACCAACGUGGUGCCGUGACAGCGGGUAUCUGCUAGAGGCUCCUGUGCAGAAGGAAGAUGGA